CCUACGGGUGGCAGCAGUGAGGAAUAUUGGUCAAUGGGCGGACGCCUGAACCAGCCAAGUAGCGUGCGGGAUGAAGGCCCUACGGGUCGUAAACCGCUUUUGCACGGGGAUAACACCCUCCACUUGUGGAGGUCUGCAGGUACCGUGCGAAUAAGGGCUGGCUAAUUCCGUGCCAGCAGCCGCGGUAAUACGGAAGGCCCGAGCGUUAUCCGGAUUCAUUGGGCUUAAAGGGAGCGUAGGGGGGCGUUCAAGGCAGCGGGAAAAUCGCGCGGCUCAACCGCGCCCCGCAGUUGAAACUGGACGCAUUGAGUGCAUAACAGGCAGGCGGAAUUCGUGGUGUAGCGGUGAAAUGCAUAGAUAUCACGAGGAACCCCGAUUGCGAAGGCAGCCUGCCGGGGUGCGACUGACGCUGAGGCUCGAAGGUGCGGGUAUCAAACAGGAUUAGAUACCCGAGUAGUC
rnacentral:rRNA from 1 species